AUAAAUUGGAGUGUUUCUGCAAAUUCUAAGAGGUUCUUAACAUUAUCCAGAAUGGUGCCCUGGUGGACGAUCAUGCACCUUGCUGGCGAGGCGCUUUCUUCAGGUCCAUAAAUGCUUGCUGUGAGUGAAGAACUGAAGAACUGUCCUAUUUGCAUUCUAACCACAAAAAAGCUAGAGGACUCAGGAGUUAGAGUUGCUUUGAUCUACACAUAUUCUUGUUGCUUCUAUCCCUUUCUAAUGCUACAGAUUGCACUGAUGCAGUGAAGCACUGCCAAAUCAACGUGGUUAGGAAAGCAGAAGAGCAAAUUAACAGAAGUCUCCUUACAGUAUGACCACACAACAGGAGAAAUUGCAAAACAUUAACUAAAGUUAAAAAGUGGUCGAACUAGCAUGUGCACAUAAACAUCUUAUUAUUUAACAAAAAAUAAAUUUACCCCUAGGAAUACCUA
ensembl:lncRNA MYB-AS1 MYB antisense RNA 1